CUCCCCCUCCAAAACACCCACACAAAAACAAACCAAGUGGUUAUACUUCCUUAAAUUAAAUAACAGGGGCGAUCGAGGCUUUGAUCAACGUUGAGUUAGUUCCUAAUUAAACAUCUGUCGAAAGAAGAUGAAUAAGAUCAUGCAGAAGCUUGUCUGGAACCGUAUUUUGACUUUUGUGUUUCUCUUUAUCUUCUUUCAAUUCUCUACUGCAACGGCUCAGAUGCGUGAUAAUAAGAAACGUCCUCCUGAUCCACGCUACCGUCAAUUUAGUGAUUGGCCUCCCCAUGACUAAGUAGACGUAUAUGGCAAUGGUGUGCUCAAGCUGCGUUAAGGAGCUCGAAGACCACCAUCUUUGAAUAAGAUAAUGUUUCGUAAUUGAUUUCAACGUACAGGAACUAGGAAAUUUCAGGCCAAAAGGGGGCAAAAAGAAAAAAGAAAAAAGAGGACCUGAAAAUAAAAAUAUAUAUAUAUAUAUAUGUGUGUGUGUGUGUGCGUGUGUGUAUGUAUAGUUUGUGUUUUUUGAAGGUUUGUGCAGGAUAAACCUGAAGAUCAUCAAUUUCUACUGCUGUGGCUACGUGCUUUUCCUAUGUAUUGUUAUAAUUCAUCGCCCUCUCCAUCUAUCUCUCUCUCUCUCUCUCUGUUGUUUUUGCUUAAUCAUUGAUUCUAUUUAAUGAGAACCAGAGCUGUAAUUGAUGAACAAUCGAGAUGCUGAUUCAACAGACUCCUCAGGCCAUAGCCAAACCAAUUACAAUAAAAUGACUAUAUUUUUCAUUGUA